UCCGAGUUGACCCCGGCAGUCUCCCAUGAGUCCCCGGCAUAACCCGCUGGCAACAUGGAACGAGGGUUGCGCUCGUUGCGGGACUUAACCCAACAUCUCACGACACGAGCUGACGACAGCCAUGCACCACCUGCACACCAACCACAAGGGAACGCCCAUCUCUGGACGCGUCUGGCGCAUGUCAAACCCAGGUAAGGUGGGGAUGACGUAGUCUACG
rnacentral:misc_RNA from 1 species